UUUUAAAAAAGAAAAAGAUUUUAUUUUCCCGAAAUAAUUUGAGCUAAAAUUGUAAAUUAAUUUGUAUUUCAAUACAAAUAAAAUUCAAUUUUAGAUGUGAAAUUCUUUUCAAAAAUUAUGAUACCUGGUUAAUAAUAAAAUUACUAUAAGUAUUUCUAUAAAUGUUAUUAAUAUAAAAAUUUAUAGAAAAUUAAUUUUGGGAUAAGCUAAAAUUAUAAAUUUAAAACUUAAAGGCAAUAAACAGAAAGAUUAAAAUUUUCUUUUUUAUUUUCAUAAAUACGUUUUAAUUAAGGUUUAAAAUAUUUUAAAUAUUUAAUAAAUUUAAUUUAAAAUUUAAAUAAAAAUGAAAAUAUUAGUAAAAGUUUAAUUAAAUUAAUAAUUUAAAAUUAAAAUCUAUAAUAGAAAAAUAAUUUUUAAGAAUUCAGCAAAAAAUUUUUUUAACUGUUUAAUAAAAACAUUUCAUUUAGUAAAAUUUAUUAAAUGUAAUUUCUGCUCAAUGAGAAUUUUAAUUGCUGUAGUAUUUUGACUAUACAAAGGUAUUGUAAUAAGAUUUUAAUUGAAUGCUAAAAGAAUGGAAAUUUAAAAAAAAACUUUUUUAAAAAUAAAAAUUGAAUUUUUUUUAAUUUGUGCAAAAACAAUUAUUAUUAUUAAAGACAAGAAGACCCUAAGAAUUUAUGAUUUUGCAAUUAGAAUUUUUUUCAAAAAAUCUUGAUUGGGGCGAUCAAAAAAUAUUAAUAACUUUUUAAAUUUAAAUUGAUCUAUUAUUAAUAAACUAAUGAAUUAAAUACUCUAGGGAUAACAGCGUAAUAAUUUUUGAUAGAUCUUAUUGACAAAAUAGUUUGCGACCUCGAUGUUGGAUUAGGAUCCUUUUUUAAUGAAGAAGUUAAAAAAAGAAGUUUGUUCAACUUUUAAAUUCCUACAUGAUCUGAGUUUAGACCGAUGAGAAUCAGGUUGGAUUCUAUCUUAAUAAAAAAAUUUUUUUAGUUAGUACGAAAGGAAUUCUAAAAUUUAAUUAUUAAGAUGAACAACUUUAUUUGCAUCAAUUUUUGUAAUUUAUUAAAGUGGCAGAAAAUAAUGCAAGGAAUUUAAGCUUCCUUUAUGAACUUAUUCCUUUAAUAAUUUUAAAUUUUAUUUAUAUAAGAAUUUUGUUAAUUAUAAUUUUAUUAAGUAUUGCUUUUUUUACUUUAAUAGAACGAAAAUUUUUAGGUUAUUGUCA
rnacentral:rRNA from 1 species